UUCUUCAUUUUUGGGUCUUAUAUUUACAAAAAGUAUUUCUCAUGACCUCUUUCAUGGUUUGAUUUUCAGCAAAAGAUUGUGAUGAAGGUUCAAAUGAAUAGCGAAAAAUGCCAGACUAAGGCACUCAGAGUUGCAGCUAUAGCAGACGUGUGUGCUCUGUGGGAUUAGAAGGAGUAGAGAAAUUUAAAGUGGUGGUGGUGGUGAUUGGUGACAGAGUUGAUGCUGUAAGUUUGGCUGCUACUAUGAGGAAGAAGGUUGGGCACACUGAUAUGUAUUAGUGUAGCACACUGACACAUAUACCCUUGGCUACUAGAAUUCCUUUUGAAGGACACUACCUUUUCUCUUAUUUUUUUGUUAACCAGGUGAGAGAUGUAUAUUGGCAAGGUGUUAAUGUAAUAAACAUUCUCUUAGUUAUUUUGGCAUCCCUUAUCAACAUUUUAAGCAUUUAGAGAAUUUAAUGCCUUUGGCAAAAUAGGGAUUUUUUUUUUUUUUUAAAUUUAUUUUAAGUAUUGGUUAUAUUUGGUUCAAGUUUGAUUCCUACCUCACAUGCAAAGCUUGAUCAAGUUCCACUUGGCCCGACCCAUUGAGGCCAAGGGCCUAGUAAAAAUGGGGCGGGCUGGCCCAGCUCGACCCAUUGCUGAAGAAAGAACUCAAAAUGCAAGUCUGCUUGUCCAUGGUUUUCUUUUGGACAUGUGGAGUCCUUGGAAGUGGGCAUGGCCAGAUGUCGACGACAUAAGAGGAAAAUGACGAAGAAGAGGAUGACGAAUAAGAGCACGCCGAAGAAGAGGACCUAUGAUUUCUGUGUUUCUAGCUUCAAGUAGAGAUUUUUGGAUGGCGAUGGUGAAAGAUGAUUUGUCUGUGUGGCCAAUGUUCACUCUUGGCUUGAAAUUCAGUGAUGCAAGUCUAAUCCAUUCAUGGCAAAGUUCAGCUACGGCUUGAUUCGGCAUUGCAAUUCUGAUCCAGUCAUGGUGUGACGUACAGGAGGCCUGUUACCAGCAGGAAAGAAGAAGAAACAACAUAUACCUUGGCUUUGUUAAUUGGAUCAUUUACUCCUCACUGUGAGGCCUGUACGUUUUGUGAUGAAUCAAAUUUUCCCACAUGGGUGCACAUAUGAGAAAGGACCACAGAGGCAGGUUCUCUAUCAUUUCAUAAUGGAAGCAACAAAGUGCAUCAUGGAACAUAUCGUGUGUAAUCCAUAUUAUAUGGCGACAGAUGAAUGGAGAUUGAUGUUUCAUGUCUUAGUGAUUGAAGAGUUCCGUGUCAUGGAAGAGGGGGAAGAGUGCGAUGUUACCACCAGGAAUGGAGGGGAUGAGAUGAUAAAUGCUUGCUUUUCUUUUUACCAUUGCUAGUCGCCCAAUUUGGAAUGACAUUCAAAAAUAAAAAUACCUGAGUUAGUCACCAAUAUGAGCAAGGAAAAAAGAAGAAGAAGAAGGCAAUGAAGCCAUAUUACUAUUGUUUGCUCUAUGCAGUUCAAUUCUGAUUCACCUAUAGAUGUAGGAAACCAUAUCAAGAGUACAAGUCUGAUUUAUUUGGUCUGCGGCUAAAAUCUAAAAUGAAGAUAUUGCUUAAACAGAAAAUUUGCUUCCUUACAUCAAUGCAAGUUUUAUUUAAUGGCAGUAGACAUAGCUCAAGAGCGGCUUUUGUGGUUUAUGAGGAAAUUUGGAGUACCCUCAAAAGCUUUUGUGGCUACAACUCCUAAAAUCAUUGACAAUGUCAUAUCUAGCUCAUCUCCUAAUUAUUUCUGAUGGACAAGGAAGAUAAGAUCAAUCUCAAAGAAGAAACCCCAUCAAGGACGUCAAGAAUUCAGUUGAGGAAGGAAAUGAACAUGAUCUUGGCACCACCACUCGCAAAGGAAAUUGAGGAAGAUUUAUGAUCACAGCAGAAGCUCAUUAAUCUUGUAGCCAGCGAGUAUUUGAAGUUAUAAGCAUGGAGAAUGGUGUAGUGCGCUACAGUGUUGAGUUUUACAGGGAUGAAGAUCUUUUGACCUCAGAUUUCAUAUAUUGAGGCCUUAAUGUCAUCUAUUUUCUCCCCAACAUCAGGGUUAUUAUGUUGAAGUCUAAACAUAUUGGAGGAGCAUAGCUAAUGCUGGUGAAAAUCAUUAAGCAAUGAUGCACCUCAUAUAGCCAUGUCUUACAUUCUGGUGCAAGAUAGCUAAUUGAAAAGGCUCCAUAUGCAGAACAGAAAAGUUCUAUAUAUCAAAACAACAAAGCUCUGUUCUCUCCUCCCCGAAACAUUGUCCUUGUUUACAAAGUCAUGGACACAAAAAGGCUUAUAGAUGAGGCUCCAAUCAACAUCCCGAAUCUAACAUAUCAUGGAUGUCAAGAAGAAACAAUGUCAAGCUGUGACAUGUGAAUAGGAGACAACUGGCUUUAUCUAUAUCUGUAAAUUCUUCUUUCCAUGUCCUUUUGUUGUUUGAAUGUGAAUGACUGGUUAUCAAGUUUGUUAUUAUAGGGACAUGAUUUCAAAACUACGUAGAUUGCUUUUGUUAAGAGGAAAAUUUUAUUUGUAUAAGCAAUAUUUCUGUUAAAUUUCAUAUUGCUUUUGUUAAGCAAUAUGUCAACCAAUUUCCUAAAAGUCAAGUCAACAAUUUGGGUUUGGAAGCA